rnacentral:rRNA from 1 species
AUUGAACGCUGGCGGCGUGCCUUACACAUGCAAGUCGAACGGCAGCACGGGAGCAAUCCUGGUGGCGAGUGGCGAACGGGUGAGUAAUGUAUCGGAACGUACCAUUGAGUGGGGGAUAACGUAGCGAAAGUUACGCUAAUACCGCAUAUACCCUGAGGGGGAAAGCAGGGGAUCGCCAGACCUUGUGCUCUUUGAGCGGCCGAUAUCAGAUUAGCUAGUUGGUGAGGUAAAGGCUCACCAAGGCGACGAUCUGUAGCGGGUCUGAGAGGAUGAUCCGCCACACUGGAACUGAGACACGGUCCAGACUCCUACGGGAGGCAGCAGUGGGGAAUUUUGGACAAUGGGGGCAACCCUGAUCCAGCCAUGCCGCGUGAGUGAAGAAGGCCUUCGGGUUGUAAAGCUCUUUCGGCCGUGAGGAAAUCGCAUCAGCUAAUACCUGGUGUGGAUGACAGUACCGGAAUAAGAAGCACCGGCUAACUACGUGCCAGCCGCCGCGGUAACAC